UGGCGGCGACAAGCGCAUCUGCUUUGCUCUCACCAACAACUUUCUCCACCGUAAUCUCCCAGAAAAACCCAAACUCCAUCUCAUUCCACGGCCUUCGUCCUCUCCGACUCGGUGGCUCCUCCGCCUUACCAAAGCUAUCCACCACCUCCGGAAGAAGAUCUUCCUCCUCCGCCGUUGUGAGAGCUGAGCUUAGCCCAUCGGUCGUCAUAAGCCUCAGCACAGGUCUCUCCCUCUUCCUAGGCCGGUUCGUCUUCUUCAACUUUCAGAGAGAGAAUGUGGCAAAACAGGUGCCGGA
rnacentral:lncRNA from 1 species